GUUCGUAGUGACUGCGGAGGAUCAUUAAUAAAUGUUGCCUCUGGUAACUUUAUAAUCCUUUAACACCUGUGCAUCUUGUCGCUCCGGCGAUAUUAUACAAACAUCAGUGUAAAGAAUGUAAACUAUUAUAAUAAAUACAACUUUUAACAACGGAUCUCUUGGCUCUCGCAUCGAUGAAGAACGCAGCGAAAUGCGAUAAGUAAUGUGAAUUGCAGAAUUCAGUGAAUCAUCGAAUCUUUGAACGCACAUUGCGCCUUUUGGUAUUCCGAAAGGCAUGCCUGUUUGAGUGUCAUAAGACCUCUCAUACCUAGUUUUCUAUGUAUGAGCUUUGGACGUCUGCCAUCCGUGGCUCGUCUUAAAUGUCUAAGUGGAAUGCGUAAUAAGUUUUCGCUCCCUCCACUCUAAUAACACUUUAAGUUAGACCUCAAAUCAGGUAGGGCUACCCGCUGAACUUAAGCAUAUCAAUAAGCGGAGGAAAAGAAACUAACAAGGAUUCCCCUAGUAGCGGCGAGCGAACCGGGAAGAGCUCAAAUUUAAAAUCUGGCGUCCUUCGGGCGUCCGAGUUGUAAUCUACAGAAGUGUUUUCCGUGCUGGACCGUGUCCAAGUCCCUUGGAACAGGGUAUCAAAGAGGGUGACAAUCCCGUACUUGACACGACAACCAGUGCUAUGUGAUACAUUUUCUACGAGUCGAGUUGUUUGGGAAUGCAGCUCAAAAUGGGUGGUAAAUUCCAUCUAAAGCUAAAUAUAGGCGAGAGACCGAUAGCGAACAAGUACCGUGAGGGAAAGAUGAAAAGCACUUUGGAAAGAGAGUUAAACAGUACGUGAAAUUGUUAAAAGGGAAACGAUUGAAGUCAGUCGUGUCUGUUGGUUUCAGCUGUCUCUGGCAGUGCAUUACCAACAGACGGGUCAACAUCAGUUUUGGACGGUGGAAAAAGACGGAGAGAACGUAGCACCUUCGGGUGUGUUAUAGCUCUCUGUUGCAUACACUGUCCGAGACUGAGGAAUGCAGCUCGCCUUUAUGGCCGGGGUUCGCCCACGUUCGAGCUUAGGAUGUUGACAUAAUGGCUUUAAACGACCCGCUGAAAAAACCCGGACCA
rnacentral:rRNA from 1 species